AGAGUUUGAUCCUGGCUCAGAACGAACGCUGGCGGCAUGCCUAACACAUGCAAGUCGAACGAAGUCUUCGGACUUAGUGGCGCACGGGUGAGUAACAUGUGGGAAUCUACCUAAAGGUUCGGAACAACUACGGGAAACUGUAGCUAAUACCGGAUGUGUCUGCAAAGAGAAAGAUUUAUCGCCUUUAGAUGAGCCCGCACUAGAUUAGUUUGUUGGUGAGGUAAAAGCUUACCAAGACUAUGAUCUAUAGCUGGUCUGAGAGGAUGAUCAGCCACACUGGGACUGAGAUACGGCCCAGACUCCUACGGGAGGCAGCAGUGGGGAAUAUUGGACAAUGGGGGCAACCCUGAUCCAGCAAUGCCGCGUGAGUGAAGAAGGCCUUCGGGUUGUAAAACUCUUUCAUCAGUGAAGAUAAUGACGGUAACUGAAGAAGAAGCCCCGGCUAACUCCGUGCCAGCAGCCGCGGUAAUACGGAGGGGGCUAGCGUUGUUCGGAAUCACUGGGCGUAAAGCGUGCGUAGGCGGAUCAAAAAGUUAGAUGUGAAAUCCCUAGGCUUAACUUAGGAACUGCAUUUAAAACUAGUGAUCUAGAAUUUGGUAGGGGAUAAUAGAAUUUCCAGUGUAGAGGUGAAAUUCGUAGAUAUUGGAAAGAAUACCAGUGGCGAAGGCGAUUAUCUGGACCAAAAUUGACGCUGAGGUACGAAAGCGUGKGUAGCAAACAGGAUUAGAUACCCUGGUAGUCCACGCAGUAAACGAUGAGUGCUAGUAGUUGGGUCUUUAUGAUUCAGUUUCGUAGCUAACGCAUUAAGCACUCCGCCUGGGAAGUACGGUCGCAAGAUUAAAACUCAAAUGAAUUGACGGGGGCCCGCACAAGCGGUGGAGCAUGUGGUUUAAUUCGAAGCAACGCGAAGAACCUUACCAGUCCUUGACAUGGUGUGUAUGAAUUACAGUACCGUAAUUCUUCAGUUCGGCUGGCACACACACAGGUGCUGCAUGGCUGUCGUCAGCUCGUGUCGUGAGAUGUUGGGUUAAGUCCCGCAACGAGCGCAACCCUCAUUUUUAGUUGCCAUCAGGUCAAGCUGGGCACUCUAGAAAAACUGCCGGUGAUAAGCUGGAGGAAGGCGGGGAUGACGUCAAGUCCUCAUGGCCCUUAUGGGCUGGGCUACACACGUGCUACAAUGGUGGUGACAGUGGGAAGCUAUUUCGCAAGAAUAUGCAAAUCUCCAAAAGCCAUCUCAGUUCGGAUUGGACUCUGCAACUCGAGUCCAUGAAGUUGGAAUCGCUAGUAAUCGUAGAUCAGCGUGCUACGGUGAAUACGUUCUCGGGCCUUGUACACACCGCCCGUCACGCCAUGGAAGUUGGUUUUACCUUAAGCCGGUGCGCUAACCGCAAGGAGGCAGCCGUCCACGGUAGGGUUAAUGACUGGGGCGAAGUCGUAACAAGGUAACC
rnacentral:rRNA from 1 species